rnacentral:rRNA from 1 species
AACGAACGCUGGCGGCAUGCCUAACACAUGCAAGUCGAACGAUCCCUUCGGGGAUAGUGGCGCACGGGUGCGUAACGCGUGGGAACCUGCCCUUAGGUUCGGAAUAACUCAGAGAAAUUUGAGCUAAUACCGGAUAAUGGCUUCGGACCAAAGAUUUAUCGCCUUUGGAUGGGCCCGCGUUGGAUUAGCUAGUUGGUGGGGUAAAGGCCUACCAAGGCGACGAUCCAUAGCUGGUCUGAGAGGAUGAUCAGCCACACUGGGACUGAGACACGGCCCAGACUCCUACGGGAGGCAGCAGUGGGGAAUAUUGGACAAUGGGCGAAAGCCUGAUCCAGCAAUGCCGCGUGAGUGAUGAAGGCCUUAGGGUUGUAAAGCUCUUUUACCCGGGAUGAUAAUGACAGUACCGGGAGAAUAAGCCCCGGCUAACUCCGUG